CGUUACCCGGAAGUACUUUUUAUUGUUGCUGAUGAGACGCUGAGUUCGCAAAUCAAAUACCCAAUUGUGGUGCCAACCUGACAGUGAAAAACAAGUUGGAUCCAACAUGCAGUACCUCCAGCAGGCAGAGAGGCAAGAACCAUUCCUCCAACAGCUCAGGGACAAGCUACAAUAUUCACAGUCCUGUUAGGCUGGACAAUAGAGCGAGUCAAAAUUCACCCCAGGCUGAAAAACGGCUUAAGAACGUUGGAUAAGCUGGAACACUAGCGCGAGCUCAUAGCAAAUAAAUGGAAUCGAACGGCCGCAGAUGUUUUGACCGGAGUGACGCUUAGAAUUCCAUUUCGCCAAAAUGGCACAAUUUUUGUUGAUCCCUUUUCAUUUUACCACUACAAUCUGCUCGUCAGACGAAACUGAUAAAAAAGCAACUGGGGUAGAAAGUAAACCUCCGCACCUCGAUGGUGUCAACUGUGCUUAUGGCUGCGUAAUGAGGAAGUACGGAAAAAAUGAAAACUUCUGACUAUUUCUGGUCUAGCGAUCGAUGACAAAUGAGCUCGCUUCCCAGACUGUUCCUCUGCAUAGGCAAACAAUGGGGGGAGCUCAGCUUUCCAAGUGAAAACAAGUAUUUUUGGGCUAGCGUUUGAUGACAGUGGAGCUUGCGGCCCAGACUUAAAUAAUUAAAAGAGGAAAUUCUCCUGAUUAAAAUGGCGUUUGACUUGUGUUAGGGUUUGAUCAACUAUUUGUUUGCAUAACCUAUAUAAUAUAACAAAGAAGCUAUGCUAUAAUAUUAAGUUUAUACUCUAUAUGAUAAGAGCAUACUGCUGUGUGAGAGGAAGGGGCCAUGGGAUGGUGAGUCAUAUGGAAAGAAUGCAGAUGCUGUAAAUCAGGGAUGUGGAAGAGCUUGUUAAAAGAUAUGGGCAGGAUAUGGGUGAAAUGUAUAUGCGGAGGGGUGUCAGGGUUUUAGAGAACUGCAUUGUGCAACAAGAUAAAUCGACUGCCAAAGAUAAUAACUACGCCCGGCAACAGGAGGCGUCUCGAGGUUGGGACCAACCUGCACGCCAACGAUAGGAUGAGUAAGUUUAAACCACGCUCAUCCUCCCUCUGACAGGCCAGCAGUGAGUGGGAACUAUCUCUGUCAGAGUAUUUAAUGAAAAGCAAAGGAUGUGUAACUGAGUUCUCUGUCUGCCCUGCGUGGUGACACAGCGAGCCCGUAUAUACGAACAUCAUAUUUACCAUAAAUGUGUUUGCAUUAAUUAAAGUACAAAGAAAUCAGAAGUUA